rnacentral:rRNA from 1 species
UACCUUACUACUUGGAUAACCGUGGUAAUUCUAGAGCUAAUACAUGCUAAAAAUCCCGACUUCGGAAGGGAUGUAUUUAUUAGAUUAAAAACCAAUGCCCUUCGGGGCUCACUGGUGAUUCAUGAUAACUCCUCGAAUCGCAUGGCCUUGUGCCGGCGAUGGUUCAUUCAAAUUUCUUCCCUAUCAACUUUCGAUGUUUGGGUAUUGGCCAAACAUGGUUGCAACGGGUAACGGAGGGUUAGGGCUCGACCCCGGAGAAGGAGCCUGAGAAACGGCUACUACAUCCAAGGAAGGCAGCAGGCGCGCAAAUUACCCAAUCCCGACACGGGGAGGUAGUGACAAUAAAUACUGAUACAGGGCUCUUUUGGGUCUUGUAAUUGGAAUGAGUACAAUUUAAAUCCCUUAACGAGGAACAAUUGGAGGGCAAGUCUGGUGCCAGCAGCCGCGGUAAUUCCAGCUCCAAUAGCGUAUAUUAAAGUUGUUGUGGUUAAAAAGCUCGUAGUUGAACCUUGGGCCUGGCUGGCCGGUCCGCCUCACCGCGUGUACUGGUCCGGCCGGGCCUUUCCCUCUGUGGAACCCCAUGCCCUUCACUGGGUGUGGCGGGGAAACAGGACUUUUACUGUGAAAAAAUUAGAGUGCUCCAGGCAGGCCUAUGCUCGAAUACAUUAGCAUGGAAUAAUAGAAUAGGACGUGUGGUUCUAUUUUGUUGGUUUCUAGGACCGCCGUAAUGAUUAAUAGGGACAGUCGGGGGGCAUCAGUAUUCAAUUGUCAGAGGUGAAAUUCUUGGAUUUAUUGAAGACUAACUACUGCGAAAGCAUUUGCCAAGGAUGUUUUCAUUAAUCAGGAACGAAAGUUNGGG